UACGAAGGGGGGCUAGCGUUGCUCGGAAUUACUGGGCGUAAAGCGCACGUAGGCGGCUUUCUAAGUCAGGGGUGAAAUCCCAGAGCUCAACUCUGGAACUGCCUUUGAUACUGGGUAUCUUGAGUAUGGAAGAGGUAAGUGGAAUUGCGAGUGUAGAGGUGAAAUUCGUAGAUAUUCGCAGGAACACCAGUGGCGAAGGCGGCUUACUGGUCCAUAACUGACGCUGAGGUGCGAAAGCGUGGGGAGCAAACAGG
rnacentral:rRNA from 1 species